GAAUUUAACCCGUGAUUGCUGGGCCUAGCUCUCGCUCCUCAAGGGGCCGCAGUUCUUUUACAAAGAGGGGUGGAGGUUGUUGUUGCUUUUUUUUCUGAAUGAAUGGAGGGCGGCGGCGACUGCAGCAGCUGGCUCAGCUGCGUGGGCUGUACCCCCUCCCAGCCUACGAGAGGAGGUACCUAGUGGAGGACUUGUACCAAGAAAACCGAGGAGCAAAUCAAGAGUGUGGACCCCAUGAGAAUAACUAGUGAGCUCAGGUGUUCUGAAUAAAGGUGUGGCAAGCUCCAGGUCUAGGGUUCUUGCUGCCCAGAGCAGAAUGGAUUGGGCCAAAGAUCAGCUUCAAGUCUCAUUUUCUGUCCAUCGAUGAAUUCAUCUUGUGCUGUCUUACCUGAUGCAGAGGUUCUAGUAACGUCCCCUUUCCCUGUUCCCCACAUUUGGCACCCAAAGUGGAUGUGAAUGAAACCCACUGGUGAACUCGCCUGUGAGACAAACUCGGAGUAAAAGAGACGGCACUCGGAUCUCCUAGGACGAUUUCCAGGCCUGGACGAGGGACAGUGGUGAUUACAAAAGACCAUACAUCAAAAAAUUGCUCCUGCUUUAACCUGGGGGAGAGAUCUUGCUUGUCUGCCGACAGAUAAGGAUGAAAACUGUGGCUGCCCUCCUGGAACACGCCCCCGUGGGUCACGCUGAUGGAACUGCCAACCCCACUGAGAGCACUGAGCCCUCUACACCUGAGAGACCCACCUCACCAGUGCACCCACGGCAAGGUCCAGGACUGAGAUGAGCCCGCAGAAGGAUUUACAGUAUUUCCGGUCAGACACACACCAAGAAGGUGACUGGAGUGCCCAUGGACUCCCACAGGCAGAAUUCUGAUUGUGCGGAUUUAGGUACUGGCUUGG